GCUUGUCUCAAAGAUUAAGCCAUGCAUGUCUAAGUAUAAACGACUUUAUACUGUGAAACUGCGAAUGGCUCAUUAUAUCAGUUAUAGUUUAUUUGAUGGUCCUUGCUACUUGGAUAACCGUAGUAAUUCUAGAGCUAAUACAUGCAUAAAUCCCCGACUGCUUGGAAGGGGUGUAUUUAUUAGAUGGAAACCAAUGCGGGGCAACCCGGAAUAUGGUGAAUCAUAAUAACUGUCGUAUCGAGCAAUCGAAGCGCCAUACAAGUUUCUGCCCUAUCAGCUUUGGAUGGUAGGGUAUUGGCCUACCAUGGCUUUAACGGGUAACGGAGAAUUAGGGUUCGAUUCCGGAGAGGGAGCCUGAGAAACGGCUACCACAUCCAAGGAAGGCAGCAGG
rnacentral:rRNA from 1 species